AUGCCGCUGUGCCCCUUGCCGCAGCGCCGCCGCCGUUGUUUACCACCGCAACCAACCACCGUGGGCAGGGAGCUAUUGCCGCUGCUGCCAGCUCCUGGGUGCCGCUCAAGCCGCCGAUCCUGCCGCCCAAAACUUUGCUGCCAUUGCUGGAGAACUCUGCCGUCGAUCCACCGGAGCUUCUGGCCGUCGCCAGAGCUGUUGCUGGGGCCGGUUCAAGAUCGCAGCUGCUUCGUGUUGUUAUUCCGAGUUGGUUAUGCUGCUGCAAAAAAAAGUGUGGGGCUGUGCUUUGAAGCUGCCUUUGAUUUCGAGUUGAGGCGAAAAGAACUUAUGAGGCGUUUGGAUUAUGAAUUUGCGUUGAGUAAUUCCCAAAAACCCUCUACUGAGAACCCUUUCGAGGAUGAUGUUCUCACUCCCCUUACAUUUUUCCCCCUUUCAGGAUAUGGGCGCAGAAGUCACGAAGAGUUUAUUUAAUUAUUUUUGAGAUGUUUUGUAUUGCUUUAGAUUAUUAUUUAUUGUACCCUCGCCUUUAUCUUGAUAUAUUUUGUAAGAGGGAUAAGGAUUGUAUUAGUUA